UGACAGACCGUUGCAUGAAGCUGUUAGGUUUGGAAAACAAUCCAUCCUAUCGUUUCUCCUUGAGAAGGACGCAAACCCAAAUGUCCAAAAUAACUAUGGCGACUGUCCCUUGAUGUACUGUUUCGACACUACAAGAUACAGGAUAAAUGGAUGGACUAAAAAGGCAAAUGUUCUUCUUAAGCAUGGUGCAAGAAAGGACAUGAGGAAUAAGCACGAAAAAAUGGCAGUUGAUCAUCUGGAUAGCUUUCUACAGAGGAUACGAAAUGGCACAAGUAUUGAAAACGAGAUAAGAAACGCUGAAGAACUUGCAGAAGCCUAUCAUCUCUAUGACGUGCUCACAGAGGUACAUGAUUAAAACUUUUCUAAAUCUCUGAAACAACAAUGGAAAGAAUAAACUAUU